AUGCCCCUGGACUUCACCAAGCACUUCGUCGCGGUGCCGACGGAGUUCAAGCUCAGGAACAACACCGACUGCUCCUGGAAGGUGACGGUCAAGCUGAUGAACGGCAGGGUGACCCUGGAUCAGGGUUGGGCCAGCUACGCCGUUCAUCAGAUCAAGAUCGGCUACAUGGUGACGUUCAAGCUCCUCACUCCCGAUACCCUCAAGGUCAUCAUCUUCGACGACAAUGGCAUUGAGGUCGUCAACAAGUGCAGGAAGCACGACGAAGCCUUCGUCGCCAAGGAGUAG
rnacentral:rRNA from 1 species